rnacentral:rRNA from 1 species
AACAGGUUACUGACGUCAGCCAAACUCCGAAUGCCGGUGAGUGAGAGCGCAGCAGUGAGACGGUGGGGGAUAAGCUUCAUCGUCGAGAGGGAAACAACCCAGACUACCAACUAAGGCCCCUAAGCGUGUGCUAAGUGGGAAAGGAUGUGGAGUUGCAUAGACAACCAGGAGGUUGGCUUAGAAGCAGCCACCCUUGAAAGAGUGCGUAAUAGCUCACUGGUCAAGUGAUUCCGCGCCGACAAUGUAACGGGGCUCAAGCACACCGCCGAAGUUGUAGAUUUCGCACACUCGAUAAGCCUUCGUGGUUCAGUCGUGCGGAGUGGUAGGAGAGCGUCGUGUGGCGAGUGAAGCGGCGGAGUGAUCCAGCCGUGGACGCUACACGAGUGAGAAUGCAGGCAUGAGUAGCGAAAGACGGGUGAGAAACCCGUCCUCCGAAAGACCAAGGGUUCCAGGGCCAGGUUAAUCCGCCCUGGGUAAGUCGGGACCUAAGGCGAGGCCGACAGGCGUAGUCGAUGGACAACGGGUUGAUAUUCCCGUACCGGCGAACAACCGCCCAAGCUAAUCCAGUGGUGCUAAGAGUCCUAACCCGGUUCCAGCGGAUCCCUUCGGGGUGAUGCGGUCCGGUCUAACGCUCGACCCCAUGCUGGUGCGGUUAGCGUAUGAACAGGUGUGACGCAGGAAGGUAGCUGAGCCAGGCGAUGGUAUCCGUAAGGUGAACCUGGUGUAAGGAUGUAGGGCUGACGAUAGGCAAAUCCGUCGUCUGUACGCCUGAGAUCCGACACGUACCCGUAAGGGGAAAUCAGUGAUCCUAUGCUGCCGAGAAAAGCAUCGACGCGAGGUUGCAGCCGCCCGUACCCGAAACCGACUCAGGUGGUCAGGUAGAGAAUACCAAGGAGAUCGAGAUAAUCGUGGUUAAGGAACUCGGCAAAAUGCCCCCGUAACUUCGGGAGAAGGGGGGCCGGACACGUGACCGGACUUGCUCCGUGAGCGUUGAAGGCCGCAGAGACCAGUGGGAAGCGACUGUUUACUAAAAACACAGGUCCGUGCGAAGUCGCAAGACGAUGUAUACGGACUGACGCCUGCCCGGUGCUGGAAGGUUAAGAGGAGGGGUUAGCCUUUGGCGAAGCUCUGAAUUUAAGCCCCAGUAAACGGCGGUGGUAACUAUAACCAUCCUAAGGUAGCGAAAUUCCUUGUCGGGUAAGUUCCGACCUGCACGAAUGGCGUAACGACUUCCCAGCUGUCUCAACCGCGAACUCGGCGAAAUUGCACUACGAGUAAAGAUGCUCGUUACGCGCAGCAGGACGGAAAGACCCCGUGACCUUUACUACAGUUUGGUAUUGGUGUUCGGAGUGGCUUGUGUAGGAUAGGUGGGAGACUGUGAAGCGGGCACGCUAGUGUUCGUGGAGUCAUUGUUGAAAUACCACUCUGGUCACUUUGGAUGUCUAACGUAGGACCCUGAUCGGGUUCAUGGACAGUGCCUGAUGGGUAGUUUAACUGGGGCGGUUGCCUCCCAAAGAGUAACGGAGGCGCCCAAAGGUUCCCUCAACCUGGUUGGCAAUCAGGUGGCGAGUGUAAGUGCACAAGGGAGCUUGACUGUGAGACUGACAGGUCGAGCAGGGACGAAAGUCGGGACUAGUGAUCCGGCAGUGGCUUGUGGAAGCGCUGUCGCUCAACGGAUAAAAGGUACCUCGGGGAUAACAGGCUGAUCUUGCCCAAGAGUCCAUAUCGACGGCAUGGUUUGGCACCUCGAUGUCGGCUCGUCGCAUCCUGGGGCUGGAGUAGGUCCCAAGGGUUGGGCUGUUCGCCCAUUAAAGCGGUACGCGAGCUGGGUUUAGAACGUCGUGAGACAGUUCGGUCCCUAUCCGCUGCGCGCGUUGGAAAUUUGAGAAGAUCUAUCCCUAGUACGAGAGGACCGGGAUGGACGAACCUCUGGUGUGUCAGUUGUUCUGCCAAGGGCACCGCUGAUUAGCUACGUUCGGACCGGAUAACCGCUGAAAGCAUCUAAGCGGGAAGCCGUCUUCGAGAUGAGAUUUCCAUGCACCUUGAGUGUGAGAGGCUCCCAGCAGACUACUGGGUUGAUAGGCCGGAUGUGGAAGCGGGGACUAACGACCCGUGGAGCUGACCGGUACUAAUAAGCCGAAGACUUGACAACACAAUUAUUUCCCACACUUUCGGGUGUGGGGCUCGCGUCCACUUUGUGGUUCCCGACAGACGAUCGGGAACAUGAAACUGAAUACCGCUACACCCGCAUUC